UUCACCUGACCCAGCUCUCCGGCCUCCGUGACUCCACAAACGAAAAGGAAAAAACUCUCUGGCCUCCGGCGACUUCGCCCAGCCAUCUCCCCGGCGAUCCCGGCGGCGGCCACUGAAGGCUUCAUCCCCCUCUCCCGAUUCGAUCGAUUGCGGAGCCUAGCUGAGGUGGGAAGGAAGAUCGAUGGAUGCUCCGGAGGUGGUUCCCCAACGUGUCCAUCCCAAGAAGAAACCAUGUGUGGAUGGCAAUCAACAGCAGCAUUCCCAAUCCCAGACAUCCAUGGGCCAGUGUCACACGAUAUCCGAGGUGCUUAACGACGACAACCUCCUCAUCGAGAUCCUCAUCCGUGUGGGCUUCCCUACCACCCUCGUCCGCGCCGCCCUCGUCUGCAAGCGCUGGUACCACCACGCCUCAGACCGCGGGUUCCUCUGUCGUUUCCGCAAGCGCAACCCACCCCGCCUCCUUGGCUUAUACAUCGACGUAAGGUGGACCUGGUUGGGGUUGUACGCUACUCCGCGCUUUGUCCCAAUGCAGCCCCAGGCCCCGGAGCUUGACACCGUUGUCCGCCGCGUGGCGAGCCAUAGCUUCGACGCCUACGGUGACGGAAUAUGGAUCAUGCACUGCCAGAAUGGUAGCAUCUUCACCAGAUACCGCAAAGGAACAGAAGUGACACAUGGAGUUUACCGCCCAUUGUGCCCUGAGAGAGACAUGGACUUCAUUCCACCACUCCCAACCGCCCAGAACCACAUGCAAAAACUUCUUGGUGCAAUCCUCUCCAAAGAAGAAGGUGAUGGGCUGUCCUACCUGUAUGUGUUGGCGGAGUGUACCACGCAAACAAAAACUUUCAAGGUGCGUGUGUAUAUGUUGCAAGGCGGCGUCUGGUGCAUGCAUACCUCGGCCACAACACAACUCCCUCAUAUGCUGCCUGCACUGAAAGCAGUGCUUGUUGACGAUAAAAUUUAUAUGGCUGACGUCUUCAGUAAUGACAUUAUUGUCUUGGAUUUGGCGACCUCGAGUUUUUCCAGAAUUCUGCUCCCACAAGGAGUGAAGUAUCACACUCUUCACACCAUCUUGUCUCGGGCUGAUGAUGCUUCCGGUCUAUAUCUCAUCCAUGUCCAUGUCAAGGAGCAUCAACUUUGCAUCUGGCUCCACAAGGGGGACAACUGGUUGCUGGUCGAUACCCUUUGUUUGCAUCAGAUGUGGGCUAAUUUGAGGAUGCAAGAUCACACGCUCGAGGACGAGGAUAUUAGUUACGCCUAUAUAAGCCAGGUGGGAGAUAAUGUUCAGUUUGUGUUCUUGAAGACAAUGUGUGGACGCAUACUCUAUCUGGACGUCACUAGCAGGACACUACAUAAAGUGCAUGGGAUGACAGAAAAGGAUCGACAUUUCAGUGCUAUCUAUCCUUUUAUGAUGAUUUGGCCGCCCAUAUUCCCUGCGCUCAAGGAUGAUCAAGCAAGGCAGGGGAGUUGGGUGGAAAUGGGUCAACCUGAAACUGUAAGCACAUGAGAUCUUCUAGUGUACAAUGUUGGUUGAGCAGGGACGCCAUGUGAAGAAAAAGGGAUACCCGGAAGGUCUUUAGAUCACAGUACAGUGUGCACAAACUUUGUUUUCAGUCAGUCACAAGUUUAUUGGGUACUGGAUAAGGAUGUUAUGUAUAUGUGUAACUGGAUCAGUUGCUGCUCUGCCCUGUUUGUAAGAAUCCUUAUGAUAUUUUGCAUCUGGCAACUCAGUAUGCGUGAUGGAUUGCGCUAAAUACAAGAUCCUUCUCCAUCUGAGGAGCUUCUAUUAAGCUGAUGCGUUGCCUCGAGUCUUGGUGCACACUAACUGAUGAAGCUCAACCCUAUCUCAAACUGAGCUAUUUCUGCUUUUUCUAACAAAAAGUUCGAGCAGUGAAUUGAAAAAGGGUCAAGCUUGCACCUGCUUGAAGCUUUUUUCAUUCUUCAUUCUGAGGAAUGCAAGAGCAAGAUCCGCAAAGGAGAACUUUGCCUACUUGAGAAUUUUCUCUUCCUAAGGAAAUUAUCUCAUUAAGGUUCGUUCUAGGAAUUACACAAAAUAGCCCUCUUCAACUUUGGAGUUCAUUCGAUCCCCUCUCGAUCUCCUGUGCCUCCCCGGUCAGGUGACGGUCCCCCAAGCGCUCUUCUUCCUUCCGGCGACGAUGGUCGUCCUUGUCCUGUCCCCGAGCCGAGCUCAUCCCCGCCUCAGAGCUCCUGUCCCCUCCAGUUAUCUUCCUCCCUGACCAAGGUUAGCCUCUGCCACAGUUCCCAAAAAAAAAGGUUAGCCUCUGCCUCCUCUCCACCCUGACGAGAUAAGCUUGCUGCUCCAGAUCCAAGAUGGAUUGCUUACUGCACAAUGUCACCUUGUUAGUGGCCAAGACAGGCUGACUGUUCCCUCUGUGCCAUGUUUCCUUUUGAGCAAGCUAAGUUAGGCAUCACAGUACUUACUAAUGCUUGCUACUAGUAUAUGACAUGAACAAGCCUUGCAUGGUGACGAUAGCCUUUGAUACAUUUUGCUUCUCUCAAUAACUUCUAUGAGCAAUGCCAGCCCUGAUUGCCCUGUUACCUGCUUCUGUCUACGAAUCUUACAUGCUGAUCUUGUCUGAAAACAAUCACAAUCUGAUAGCUUCUGUAACCAGCUAUGUAAGAAACUUGUGUUGCAAUUUAAGGGCAAGUUCAAUCAAUACUUGUACAGUCCAUCUUGCAAUUUAGAAUGUGUUCAUUACAUAUGUACGAUGCAGGAUGAUAUGUCUUCAUUCAAAUAUCCUGAGCCCAGGAUAAUGUACCUAUCUACAUAGUCUUACAUUUAACGGGGUAGCUUUAGCAAAUGAUGAUAUGACUUUUGGUCUGGUUGCAGUAAUGUCGUCGUAUUUUAUAUCUUUCAAAAGAUGACGUUGCCUUGCUAUGAUUAAUCAUGUGGACGGGAUAAAUAGUCCAUUAUUUCAGUUAUGAUAAUGAUCUGGCGACUGGUGUCUGGUGGCACAUAAACUUUUUAACUGACUGAGUUGGUGUAUUCAUACACAGAUAGAUGGGCUUGUGGAUGCUGCUGGAGGUUUUUUUGCUUGUCACAAAUUCAUUGGCAUACUGAAUGAAGACCGGUUCCUUGGUCCCAGGGGAUGGAGCAUGUCUGAAGUUCUCGCGGGUGCCUUUUGAUAGCACUCGAUGUUCUUGUCAUUUUUCGUGAACUUGGCGUCAGGCAGAGGGUCGUUGUCCGCUGUUGUUGGGGUUGAACUGAUUUCAGUCCCAGCAUUAUUAGGUAAAACCUAAUCAUGUUCAAAAGUUGCCACAAGGAUGUUCGCGCUGACUUGAAUGUAGCUUGUUGGUGUUGUCGCUGUAAAUUAGUUCUGGACACCCUGUGAGGGUAUCUUA